CAGCUCCAUAGGCACGGCCUGGCACCGCUCCACCUCUGGGUGGGGAGCUGGCAGCGUCCCGCUCGUUCCCCAGCCCGGGACCGUGUGGCGGCUGCGGCGGCGGCUGCGGAGCGCGGUCGGAGCCCAUGCGGCGGCAUUGAGGACUGAGCAGCGGCUGAGGAGCGCAAGGCUGACGGAUGCUGAAACACGAAGAUGAUUUAGCAAAAUGCGAUCGAGGCUAGGGGAGAACAUUGAAAAAUUAACUGGUUUUACCUCAUUUUGUGCUGACCCCUACACUACGAACACAUACUGGUUUUGCUGUCACCUCAGACCAGUGGUGAAUACGAAGACUGUGGCCACUGAACUGCAUUUCUCUCUAUAAAGCAGCUUUAAAAUAACCAUCCAGAUGGCAGACUAGCAAGCAGUGGUGAUUGCCUGCAGUUUGGAAUUUUGACCUCAGCACCAUUGUAGACUGUGGCUAAAGGUGAAAAUGAAACUUCUCUGUACAUGAUAAACCAAAGCCCUAGGAAUCAUCUCUCAGUAUUUUAACUGGCUGAGAUUUCAGGAGGUAGUGCUGUUGCUCCAUCUGAAACACAAGUUUGCCUAAAUACAACCCUCUGUAGUAAUAGGGUAAUAAAGAAGAGGAUUCUGCAGUGCUGGAGACAAGAUUUGGAUUUGAUGUUUGAAAAUCCCUCUGUUCUUAUGUUCCUGUAAGACUGGUCUGUAACUUCCCAGGUAACAUCAGAUAUUUACCAGCUCAGCUUU